CCUCGGGAGGCAGCAGUGAGGAAUAUUGGUCAAUGGGCGGGAGCCUGAACCAGCCAAGUCGCGUGAGGGAAGACGGUCCUACGGAUUGUAAACCUCUUUUGCCGGGGAGCAACGGGGUCCUUGCGAGGGCCCGAUGAGAGUACCCGGAGAAAAAGCAUCGGCUAACUCCGUGCCAGCAGCCGCGGUAAUACGGAGGAUGCGAGCGUUAUCCGGAUUUAUUGGGUUUAAAGGGUGCGUAGGCGGAUUUUUAAGUCAGCGGUAAAAUGUCCGGGCUCAACCCGGGCCGGCCGUUGAAACUGGGGAUC
rnacentral:rRNA from 1 species